GGGUAUGUGCCUGAAAGAUAAGGGUUACUUUGAUAGAGUAGAUAAUAGAGACUCAAACCCUCUCAUACCU
rnacentral:tRNA from 1 species